rnacentral:rRNA from 1 species
UACGGGGGGGGCAAGCGUUGUUCGGAAUUACUGGGCGUAAAGGGCGCGUAGGCGGCCUUCUAAGUCGGACGUGAAAUCCCUCGGCUUAACCGAGGAACUGCGUCCGAUACUGAAAGGCUUGAAUCCGGGAGAGGGAUGUGGAAUUCCAGGUGUAGCGGUGAAAUGCGUAGAUAUCUGGAGGAACACCGGUGGCGAAGGCGGCAUCCUGGACCGGCAUUGACGCUGAGGCGCGAAAGCCAGGGGAGCGAAUGGG